rnacentral:rRNA from 1 species
UACGUAGGCAGCAAGCGUUAUCCGGAAUUAUUGGGCGUAAAGAGCUCGUAGGCGGUUUGUCGCGUCUGCUGUGAAAACCCGAGGCUCAACCUCGGGCCUGCAGUGGGUACGGGCAGACUAGAGUGCGGUAGGGGAGAUUGGAAUUCCUGGUGUAGCGGUGGAAUGCGCAGAUAUCAGGAGGAACACCGAUGGCGAAGGCAGAUCUCUGGGCCGUAACUGACGCUGAGGAGCGAAAGCAUGGGGAGCGAACAGG